rnacentral:lncRNA from 1 species
GAGUCGUGGGAGCCCGGAGCCCCCGAGGCCAGCUCGGAGCCCUCUGACGCGCCGAGUCCCCAGGCUGCACUGGAGCUGGGUAAGGAGGCCCCUGGGAGUGCAGGGCCAUCCUCCGUGGGGAGGGUAGGAGGUCCCCGAUGGCCCGGGGGUGCCUGCCAUCUCUGAGGCUGCCCCACAGCAGGAGCAUUCGGCACAGGAUGUGACUCUGACACAGGGUGGAGAGUUGUGUUUUUAUUUUGUUUCACGUUUCUCCAAACCUGUGCAGGGGGCGGGAACACAGUGAACCUACGAGGGUGCCAGCUUUUCUAGCCAUUUCUUAGCAAUCGGAGAACAGGUCAAAGUGCCAUCUGAGUCCGGCAGACCCACCACCCCUGCAUAGGAGAGAGCAGUGGGGCUAUUGAGGAAAUUCAACUCAUCUUGGCGAGCAGAAGGAAAGAGGGGCUUUAAUCGUCCUCAGAUACGUGAAGCCCUUUUUUUUAAAUGAUAAAAGUCCUAUAAAUUUGUAUUUCUUUCUGAUUUGUUGUUCUUUCUGAUUUGAAGUAAUAGAAAGUCAUCUUCCUUCUUGUGGAAUCAAAAGCCUGCAUUUUGUUCCUCAGUUUCUCUGGAUCAUAUUUCUGGGAUUAUUAGAACUUGAAAGAAAACUUGAGAUGAUUUUAUUGAAGGUAGUUUUGUAGCCACAGAUAAGUCACAUUGUCAGUAUUGGAUCCUGACCUGAGUUCCCAGCCCGUCCUUUCCCUCCCCACCUUUGGGUAUUUGUCUCCGUAGAGGCCUCCCUCAUCACAGGAUGGCCAGGAGCGAUCAAACUUAGCUCUUCACAGGAGGCUGUGGGAACUGAGGAAGUAUCUGGAUUCUCAGAUUCUCCGAUUUGGGGACAUUUAGAAGUUGGUUCCAGGACCUGUUAUUUCCAGACUUGACCUUGUUUUCUUCUGGGCUCCCAUGAGUCACUGAGGUCCUCAUAGGGAGUGAUGGGCCCCAGGGAACAGGAGUGGCUUCACAGGGCUGGUUGCCUCAGGCACCUUCUCCAGCCCUGGGCCUGCCCCUCGGGAAUGCCCACCCUCCCUUGCUGGCAACUAGAAUAAACCGAUUUCAUUUUUUGUUUUAAAUUAAAAUUUCCCUUAAGUGUAUUCUUGGUUAGCUGGAAAUAGGGUGGUGUUUACACAGCCCUGUGAAUAUAUUUAAAGCCAUUUAAUUGUACGUUCAAAAAUAGUUAAAAUGGUAAGUUUUAUGUUAUGUAUAUUUUAUCACAACUAAAAAAAAAAAAAUGGCUAGCCUGGAGUUGGGAUGAAUGGGUUUGAGUCACGGUCCCUUGGGCUGGAGAAUGGAGGAGUGGCUGGCAGGAAGGCAUUGCUCGUGGCAUUAAGAGGUCCCUGGAGCCAGCAGUAGCACCCUGGCAUGGCGAGGAUCAGGCUGUUUUGGGGGCUAUACGAGCGGCAGCUGAUGUGGAGGUGACAGGCAUGUGUUUUCUCCUCAGAAACGGACUGAAUUUGAACUGAUUACACUGAAGGACUGGCCAGUCUGGGAUGCCGCCUGCCACGUGAAGGGGCUCCACCCGACUCUCCGCUGCCACAUGCUGUUCCCACGCCCGCCGCUGGGCACACACGAGAGCUUCUGGAGGCCUCGCUGCCAGCCCGGAGCCCACUGCCACCUUGGGCCCGCCACCACCAAGCGAGCCAGCCAGCGGGGAUCGCAGAGUCCUCGUCAGUUCUUCCUCCCACAAUGUAGGACCUUUCCUUUGCCUUCCAGUGGAUAAAAUAGUUCAGAUUUCAUAUUCAUAGACACAAAUCAAGUUUUUAACAUAUAAAUCUGCCUAUAUACAUUUAAUAAAACGUCAGAUUGUAAACACUUUCAUUACAUAGAAACUUUGGUUAGCAAGCAGUACAUUGCCGUCUACGUCAUCUCUGAACAUGCCCCGUGUCUCUUCUCUAGAGAUCCCUGGGGCCACGCGUCCCCUCGGCAGCGGGCCGGGGGCACCGCACACUCAGAGGCGUACCUGUGCGCUCCUCCACGAAGGCAGGGCUUUUGAAGAGGUCUCUGCCGUCAUGCCGGGCUUGCGUUGCCCUGCGGGAUGAUAAUCUGUGCAGAAGCGCCGGUCCCUGCAGUUUGUACGUGAUGGCGCGUGCUCGUCCCACCCGAAAGUCCUUACAGCCCUUCUCCUUUUUCAUGGGCGUCGGAAGCAUGGACCAGAACUUUUCGGUUCUCAGAUCACCUUAGAGAAACGUUUGUUGUCAAGCCUGAUGUACUGACCUAUGUGCCCACAUUUUUGUUUUUGUUUUUGUUUUUAAUCUAGAUGUGUUGAGAGUGAGAGGGAAAUUGAGAAAAAGGGGGCUUAAAGUGGAAGCGCGCAGCCCCGGCAGGUGGCUUUGGCCGCUGUGGUGUUCAGAGCCCUUGACCCUCACUUGCUUCAAGGCUGCCUUUGGUUGGGAAGGAAGACCUGCACUCAGCCAGUAGUCCGAGUGAGAGCUGACAGGAUCUGGGACUCCGGAGUUCUCAGAGCUGGGGUGGGCUUGCACGCGGGGGUUCCUGGCGGGACGCCCAGAGUACUCGCGGCCCUCACGCCAAGAGCCUGGCUGGGUGCUGGACAUCACCGGACGGGUGCUUGUGAGGAUUUUUCAAGUUCUGCAUUUCUGUCCCCAAAACUUGGAAACAAAAUCUUGGUCUACUUUAGCCUAAUCCUCCCAUCCGUUUUUUUUGUUUUGAGAAAAUCACAGGAAAAGGUGCUUUUGCAACACUGGGGAACUUGCUUACAGAGCUGUACUACAUGGUAAAUCCUUCUCUCCCCAAGACGGGCUGCUCUGACAGCAGCGGGUGGAGGGUGGGGCAGGCAGAAGGCCCGUCACGUGUACUUCUCACCUUCUGGGGAGCACCCGCUUCCCAAAGCACCGCGACCACAUGAGCACGCUCCUCCCGGGCCCAGGCUGGGUGAGUGGCAGGGCCUUUGGGCAAGAAACCCUGGUGGUGGGCUAGGCGUCAUCCUUCUCCCCAACCCCACGCGGGAACUGAACUGCGUGGGGCACUGUGCUGGCUUGGCUCCAAGGACUGAAGGUGGUGGUGGCGCCUUCUGCCUUCCAGGAGAGGGGCUAUCUUUGCCAACCCCAAGCCCUUGAGCCCCUGUUCUUUUAAAGUGUCUUCUCUUCUCCCGGGCCCUGUAGGGACCACCUCUUAGUUGUUAACAAGUGAGUACUUGGCAAGUUUUGCACCCCAUGUUUGUGUCCUUUCCAUCUGAGUGUGAAGCUCUUUAGCCCCAAGGGCCUGUUUCCAGAAUUGCCAAGAGUGGUGAGUGAUUCUUCCUUCAGAGAACAGACACCUGGGAUUUUUCCUUUAGUGUUUAUGUACAUGCAGAUUAAUUUAUAUAUACACAUAGAUACAGGACAAAUACUUUGAAACUUUACUCAGAAGAUGUACAUCUGAGGUGUGCACCUGAGGAAUCUAGUGGCGUGUGGGUGCCGGGGACAGUAGCCUGUGUUGAAGGCAGUGCUGGGAUCCCAGGUGCGGCUGGGGUGGCCCAGCCGGAAACCAUCAGUGUCUGAGACACCACCCUGUGGGCCCCGCUCCAAGUCCUGCACAUACUGGCCAGAGCGUUGUGUCUUUAGAGAGGGUUUUCUUGGUUAUUUAAUUUGUGUUCAUAUUUCAUUUACAACCCAAACAGCAAAACAAAAAACGAAUUACGUGGUAGACAAGUUGGUGCAGGACAUAGGGACCCCGCCUCGGCACCAGCCUGUCUUUGAAAGGUGGGAAAGCUCCGUCCGGUGCUGCCGCCUGGGCGUGUUUUCCUCACAGAUGUUCGCUCUCCCGACGCCCAGGGCCACCCCGCACAUGGCAGGACCGCCCAGGUAAGGAGCCCCGCAGACUGGAUGGUUCCUCCCCGCACUGUGCUCUUGGACCGGAUUGGGUAGUGGGGUUGGAGCCUCAGACAAUGAAAGGUGAAGGCAAGAGAGACAGGUCAGCGAGCGGGUGGCCCAGGAGAUGUUGCAGCAGGUGCACAGGGCUUUGGGCGCUUGAGGAAUACGGCUGCCCCGGCACGCGGAAGCACGCUGGCCCGGAACCGGAACUGCACCCCGUGCGUCGGGCCCCUGUCCUGCUGUGAGACAUCACUGCGGUUUUGCACACCGCCGGAGGGUGUCUGUGACGUCGCCUCCAUUAAGAAGGCAGUCUGUGGGCUGUAGAGCUGAGAGAGGUGGGACGGGGUUUCCUAAAGUGGUCGUUCCCCUCUUCUCCCGACGCACUUGGACUUGUCACGGUAGUAAAAUCUUUGGUGUUUCUUGUUGCCUGUCUUGCACGUUUGGUUUAUUAAUACUUUUACAUGGAGUUGUAGAUCCAGUUCUAAUGGGUGAAACUAGAUCAUCAUUCUGAUCAGAGAAAUCUGAAUUUAUGAUACAUACACUUUGCAUAUUAAAAAAAAUUUUUUUAAUGUUUUUUGAGAGAGAGAAACAGAGCGCAAAUUGGGACAGAGGCAGAGAGAGAGAGAGAGAGAGACAGAGAGACAGAAUCCGAAGCAGGCUCCAGGCUCUGAGCUGCCAGCACAGAGCCCAACACGGGGCUCAAACCCACGAACUGCCAGAUCAUGACCUGAGCCAAAGUUGGAUGCUUAACCAACUGAGCCACCCAGGCGCCCCUACUUUGCAUAUUUUGAUUACUUAUUUGAAUUCUUGACUAUUAAAGAGCUUUUUGAUUUGAGAGGAGCGUUCCCAUUUUCGGGAGUCGAGGGUUCCAGAGUGUUGGAUGGCCUGUUGGUGUUUGGGGUUUGGUAGCAUCACGUGACUUAGAGCUCCUGGCUUGGCCAAGCUGCGUGGGUGACCAAAGCACCAGGACCUGAAGGCCUGCUUUCCGGAAGGACAGGUGCGGGAGCUGGGCAGGGUGCUGUACUGACGGUGCCGUCCAAGCUGGCCAUGGGAGGCUGACCCACCGGGAAGUUUCUGCAGGUUUUCCAGGCUGAGUUGUGGCUCUUAUCCUGCACAGGUCCUGUGUUACCUCCCUCUCCCCUCUGGCUCUGGGACAUCUGUGCCGGGCCGCCUUCCAUGGAGGGUGGGCGUUGGCCUUUCUGGCUGGGUGCUCGCCUUGUCCACACACCCUCCUCGGCAGCCUGCCUGUGCUGCCCGCUCUCGGCCCUGUUGCCUUGUGUCUGCCUGUUCUCUUCUUGUACCGAGAUCCUUGGGUUUGAGCAGCUUUGUCAGUUUAAAUGCCACAGUCCACGUGGAUAAAGGCACUUUGUAGAAGAGAACCAGCCAAACCAAACCUGAAAUUUGGGUUUUUUCUAAUUUUCCCCCCUUUUCCUUGCUCAGAGUUUACUCAGGGCAGGUUAUUGAUUUGACCCACCUUUUGUAUUAAGUUUACAUUUUCCUUUAUCUUAUCAAUGUGGAAGGCUCAGUUGUAAGCCGGAGAAGAAAAAUCCUGUAGAUGUGCUAGGGUCCACACAGCUACUUCCAGGCCAGAGCCAGCAGCUUCCUGGGGCAGGAGGCAAACAGGGCUUGGCUCUCCUCACUACUGCCCGGGGCCGUCUCCAGGUCUCCUGACUCCACUGCUUUGCUGAGGAGCACAGGCUCGCCUAGCCUUCUUCCUGCCCAGACCUUGGGGCGCAUCUCCGUGUGGCUUGGGGACUGUCUGGCACCUGAGAAAGCAGGCAGUGGGGAGCCGAGCUUUCUUUUGAAUGGACCCCUCCCCAAGCCCGGCUUCAAUCUGAGGUAACCAUCGUGCUGUUUCUCUGGCCACUUAGAACAGCCAGGCUGUGCAACACCAGGGCUGAGAAAACUAGGCAACGUCUCAACAAAGUGACGGGUUUUGAUUUGGGCCAAGUGCCUGGGUAGAGGUGACGAUCAUGAGUGCCACCCAGGCAAGCUCUAAGUCCCACAUGGAAUGGCGAGGCCUGUGUUGUGUACCUUGGCACCGGUCGUCCCAGGAAGGCAGUUCACUGAGCCACCCAGCAUCUGUAUGUGGGGGGUGUAAAGUAAAGGGCUCAGGGCAUUUGGCCCGGGGGGUGAUCCAGGGUCUGCUUUUCUGUUCUUCAGUCCUGAGCGCACUUGUGAAGACUGGCCACUAACCUGGCCUGUCUUCACCAGACUGGAGAUCGGACAGCCCGGAUCCAGCGGGAAGCAACGAUUCUACCUGCCAAAGUCCAGAGCAGGGGCAGAAACCUGAUGCCCGGCACGGCCUAGGCAGGCACUGGUCACCCCAUGGACAAGGGUGGGAGCAAGCACCUGCUGCCUUGACUUUUAAAAACGCUCUCCUUGGUUUGCAGGACCGCCAGGAUCCACAAAGAGCAUAUGGCUACUGCUCUGCUGUCACCAGCCCCAAGGCUUUAGCAGCCCUCAGCGCCUGGCCCUUGUGGCUGCUCAGGCUGGAGCCAGAAGGAGGGUCUGCACAGCGAGCAGGGCCCUUCUGGCGGGGGCAGGGGUAGCUGCCUUCUCUUCUGCUGUCUGCUGGGGGCAGGUGGCAAGCCAGGGUACUGGAGAGGGGUCUGAGCAUCCACCUGCCGUUAGUGCCUCUUCUUCUGGAGCGUGGCCCUCCUCUAUGUGCACGUGCGUACCCCUGAGCACUUGAAUGUCGAUGAAUAGCUUUUCCUGGCUAAUGCUUUUAUAACUCUUGUUCCUUUCCACUAUAAGUGGGUGACUUAGGAGUAUUUGGAAGAAGCAUUCGGCUGGAGCCGAAGGUAAAUUGUCCAGGGUAAAGACUGUUUGGAGUCCCUGAAUAUAGAAAGCUACAAGUGCGUCUUUCCCAGGAGUCAAACCCCAGAGUAGAUACACUGGUGGAGGGUAACAAUCUACUCACGUGGUAGCUGUUCUGUCAUUUGUGUUUAAAGAGAGAGAUGGUCACUCAUCCUUGGUUCCUACCCCCACACAGUGACCUCAUUCUUGCAGUUUGCUUGAAAUGCUGGUGGGGCAGGAGUCCCAGGCUGUGUGGAGCUGGCUGGAGGGGGAGCCAGGCCGCCCUCAGUACGGACCCAGCGUGGUCCUCGGGCCAGGGGAGAAGGGGUGGCCCGUGCAGAGGCGUUCCCGCGCUGCCGCGCCAUUUAGCUGUGUCGGGAAAACCCGACUGUGCCAUAAUCGUUAUUACGAAGAAAACGCCAACCAACCUUCCCCUCUCCCCUGCUGGCCAUCGUCCAUUGAAAGUUAACUGAGCACAGUCUUUGUGGAAGUCAGGGAGGUUGCCAGAGCUGCGGGGUCCUGCCUGAGAGUGCUGAUUCCUGGUUUUCUACCAUCCAUUUACCUUCUGGUCUUCGGAGUGACCGGAGGCCCUGGGAAUGGCUGGGGUGCAGUCAGCUUUAGUGCGCCUCCCAGAGAGAUGGCUGAAAGACGUGGUCACCUUGGUGCUAAGAGACAACUGCCCUGUUUGCCCAGAGGCAAUCUGCAACUUCACCAAACUAUACAAGAGGGUCCCCUGACUGCGGUGGCCAGGGUGAGACCAAACCAAGGGGGCACACUCUGUCGGUCAGGCCUGGGUGGAAUGGGAGUUCUUUAUCCAGAGUACGUGUUUUUAACAGAAAGCCGUAACUCGCCUUCGGACAGUGGCUAUGCUGAGGUGGGGGUGGGCUGUCCUCUCUGGGCUGCCUCCAGGCCUCACGAGGUCCCCUGUGGGGAUGCUGCUAUUUCUAAGAUGCAAAUUGCACAUUUCCUAGAUUUUGUAUCUGUGGAUUUGGAGAAGGGAGGGAGCAGGGACAAACUGCGUAUACAAUUUGAUAUGGGCCGAAAUGGUACUUCAGAUCUUUUGAUUGUUCCUAAAUAAAAACAUAAAUAUGUUUCACAUCUGCUGACUUUAUUGUGUGGGGGAGCCAGAAAAACUAGAAACGUUUCACAUCUGAUUUAUUCAGUGGGCAAGCCAGAUCUUAA